CACUAUUAUGCUUCACUGCUUUUAGCGAUGAAGAGGUAGAAGCUGUGUCGCCUAUCCCAGCUUUGCCACCGAAUCACCACCAUCACCAUCACCACAACCAUGUUCACCCACCGAGUCAUGCCCCUGUUGUCUCUCCCAUGCAUGCUCCAGCUCAUGCACCCGUUCACCCACCAAAGCCGCACCCACACCCACACCCAUCGGUUCAGCCUCCCAUGCACUCUCCAAAACCACACCUACCGGUUAAACCACCAGUUCACCCUCCCGUACACUCUGCACCACCAAAGCCAUUACCACAUCCACACCCACACCCACCAGUUAAACCACCAGCUGAGGCACCGAUCUACCACUUCGAAAGAAGCUUUGUUUCCGUGCAAGGGGUUGUUUAUUGCAAGUCAUGCAAAUAUUCUGGAGUUGAAACUCUCUUGGGAGCUUCACCACUUUCUGGUAAGUCAGUUCUUGACAUUAUUUAUUGAAGUCUUGACUACACAUUGCUCUUAUUUUCCUUUUCUUUUAUGAUUCUGUAUAUGUGAAACUGUUUAAUUUCUUGGAUGUGCAUUUUCAUGGAAAAUGUUCGUUUUUCUUAAAAUUUUAUUUUGAAAGACUUCAUCUUCAUGCAUUGGUUGGUUAAAGAUUGAAAUUUGAGCAAGAAAGAAAGUUGUUUCCUUUUUUCUAGGUGCAUGUAAGACCAAUAGCUUGCUCUCUCUUUUAGGUACAUGAGCUGUUGUCGUAAAUGGAACCCUAUGUUUCACUCCGUGACCAUUUUCAAACUGUAAAAGCAAAAGCAUUGAGAAUCACGUUUGUGCUUUUGACCAG
rnacentral:lncRNA from 1 species